rnacentral:lncRNA from 1 species
ACAGUAUGCCUGCGCGCCCAGCGCCCAGCACGUCUAGGCCCUGCGCACGCAUAGGCUACCCCCUGCGUGCACAACAGGAGGCUUGUGUCUCUGUAGCACAUCGACUGGGGCACUGCUGCCUCGGGCAGUAUGAGACAAUGUUCACGAUAGGGUUCCCUAUGAACCCGGUCUGUCCAGCAUCUCUCAGGAUAUUUAGUGAGGCUAUCAACUUACCUGUUUAUUAGGUCAC